GUAAGCCUGCACUUGCUUCUGAUGAUGAUUUGAAUUUAUUUGAUGCACUCCCUAUUUCUGCUAUGCUCAAACACUCCUCAAAUCCCCUCACUCCUAUUCCUGAAUCCCAGCCAGCCGCACACACCACCACUCCACCACAUUCCCCAAGAUCUUCCUUCUUUCAACCUUCCCCUACUGAAGCACCUCUCUGGAAUUUGCUUCAGAAUCAACCCUCUAGGUCAGAAGAACCAACCUCUCUCCUCACCAUUCCGUAUGACCCAUUACUUUCUGAACCAAUCAUCCAUGAACAACCAGAGCCAAACCAAACAGAACCACAACCCAGAACGUCUGAUCACUCUGUUCCCAGAGCAUCAGAACGUCCUGCUGCCAGAACCACGGAUACAGACUCUUCAACAGCCUUUACACCUGUAUCCUUCCCAACCAAUGUUGCUGAUUCUUCUCCCUCCAAUAACUCUGAAUCCAUUAGAAAAUUCAUGGAGGUUAGAAAAGAAAAGGUGUCUACCUUAGAGGAAUAUUACCUUACCUGUCCAAGCCCUAGGAGAUAUCCUGGCCCUAGACCUGAACGUCUAGUAGACCCAGAUGAACCUAUCUUGGCUAAUCCUUUACAAGAGGCAGACCCUUUGGCUCAACCAGCUCACCCUGUCCCUGACCAACAAGAGCCUUAUUUCAUUUGCAUCAAUUAGAAUCUUCCUUGAACUAGCUUUUUUCUUGUGCUUAUUUCUAGUGCUUCCAGGUUAAGCAGGACUGUAUCAACUGUGGUGUUUGCAUACGCAAGUACUUCUGUGGGACAUGUAAACUCUUUGAUGAUGUGCUAAUCACUAAACCUAAGGUUCUCAACUAAGAAAGAUCCAGAGUGGCUAAAGGACGUAAGGGAACAAGAGGCUAUACUGGUUUGUUGCAAUUGAAGCUGGAAUGGGUACAAAUGUUUUCUAUUGUCUCAAGAUUUUGAAGCCUCCCCAUAUCCACUUUUCCUGUCUUAGGAUUUGGACAUAAAGAAAGGGCACAUACUUUUGCAUUUGUUGUUGCAAUUUUAACUCGUGGUUAGAAUUUUAUCCUCUUUUCUAUGCUACUUUAUAGAGUAACCCCAGAUGCUUGCUGCUAUGGCUUGUCAUAGGCUGAGAUGUAAUUUAAGUAGGCCAAAUAAGAAUUAGGCCUUCUUCACUUUACCUUCUUCCUGAACAUUUGAAGCCUUUCAGAACAUCCUUUAUUUGAGUUCAUGGGUUUCUUUUGAUUGUUUGAUAUCUUUGUUUCUGUUUCCCUUUCACUCAAUGUUUUGGGUAGCCAAUAAUACUUUUAGAGGACGAUUGGAUCUAGAUGGUAGGUAAUAUGCAGUUAAGUCGAUUGAUAGAAAUUUCUUCUCAUGUUAGCACACCUAUCUAUCAUUGUAUUAGGCUUAUAAUUUUAAUGUUAGAUUGCAAGCGCAGAUG